AUGCACGCUGAACCUUUCUACUGUGUGGUCCUUUUUUUCUGGACCGCAGGCUCCAUGGACACUGAGGUCAUCCAGAAUCCUAGAUAUCUGGUCAAAGGAAAAGAACAGAGAGCCAAAAUGGACUGCACCCGCAUCAAAGGACAUAGUUACAUUUAUUGGUACUACAAGAAGCUGGGAGAAGAACUCAAGUUUUUGGUUUACUUUCAGAACGCAGACAUCGUAGACAAAACAGAUAAGAUCGAUAAAAACAUUUCAGCCAAAUGUCUGCCAAAUGUGCCGUGUACCCUAGAGAUCCAGUCCAGCCAGCUCGCAGACUCAGCUGUGUACUUCUGCGCCAGCAGUCAAUCCACAGUGCUGACUGCUGGCUUUUCUUAG